UAUCUAUCUAUCUAUCUAUCUAUCUAUCUAUCUAUCUAUCUUGCAAAGCUUUGCCUGGCUCAGGAUAUUGAUCGGAAUAAUGAAGGAACUAUCCCUUAGCCAUUCUUUGAAUAAAACACUGAUUGCAUUUGAGAAGGGAUGAUUUUGAUGCAAAAUCAUGUUAGAAAAUUAUAUAGAAUCCAAUAUGUUGCACUUACAUGUUCCUGAUCUCUUUCGUUGACUUAAUUUUAAGAGCCGUUGAAUUUCCUGACUGAUAUAUUUUUAUCAUAGUUUGAUUCCUUCUUAUUUAGGCAGCUUUAGUCCGUGUCAUUUGUCUAUUCCUUUCCACUUGCUCUGUGAAGAUUUAAGGAAAAAAACCCAAACAAGCAUGAGGAAGAAAAGUGUCACUGGCAUGGCCUUCCUAGUUUUACUGAGAGCAGUAGGUAUUAUUGUUACCAAAGGGAAAGGACGCUCAUCUACAAAUCCUAUGAGUCUCAAGGAGGAACCUGUGGUAGAGUGAGCAUGUGUCUUCCUUUGGAGACAGACAUGCCCUGCCUCUGCUGCCCUGCCACAGGAGCAGCUCACACGGUCUGUGUGCAAAAAGCACACACAGAUCCCUCCUUUGGUGCCAGGGAGGGCUGUUCUGAGCCUAAAAUGAAAUAAAUGAAAUAAAUGAAAUAAAAUCGGUUCAAGAGAUAUGAAGGGCAAAACUGGAAGAAUUAGCUCCAUUGAAGAAUUUUAAAUGAGCCCUGGGGCAUUGUCACUUUUGUUUGCACAGAAUGAGAGGUUGCUGUUGUCUGGAGAGCAGCGCUGUUCACCUCGGAAGGGUCUGGUCUCGGGAUGCAGGAGAUGAAAGGUCUGUGGUUCGCUUGGCACUUCAGACUCUUGCUUACUGCCUCUGAUUUUCUGGCACCUGAAGGUACAGAACUUCACUGAUGUCAGGGAUACCACUGCUUGAACUUUGCUGUUUGCCUGGAUAAGGGGUGCCACGCUCUGGACACCAAGGAAAGUCCCCUGGAAAACAAGAAAGCCUGUUUAACUGAAGCCUUUCCUGUUAAAAAUAUGCUUUCUGAUUGAUGUUUGUCAGUGGGAAGAAAGCUUCCUUUGAACACUCUUAUCCUGCUCUGAUCCUGCAGAUGUCUCUUAAUAUACUCCUGGACUAUGGAGAGUCAUCCUGAAACAGCUGUUUCCCAUUGCAGUGCUGCAACUGGCACUUUGGAAAAUACGGAUACUUCAUGGUUGUUCUGUUGCCAUCCAGGACUUGUCUCAGGAACAAUACAGUAAAGAUGUUUUUCAAGGAAGGCUGCUCCAUAAAGUAUGCUAGUAUUUCAGCAGAAGUCUCCUUUUUCUUUUGGUUGUGUAUGAUGCCGGGGAGCAUAACACAUUGUCUUAGCGUACUUUUUAUUUUGUUAGCGUAUAGCUUGAAUUGGUUAUGGCCAGCUGUGUGCCUGAGUCUUGGAUAUUUGUGCACAAUGGCUGUGACUGACAGCCAGGAGUCCUCUGUAUUUUCCAGUGUUGAACAGCUGUGAUAAAUAAAUGACACAAGAUAGUCUAAAAAAUAAUAUUGUUAUUGUGUUUGAAAUGCCUACAUUCUGCUUGCCUAAAUAGGGUGAUGUACUAACAGGACUGCAUCAAUUCAUACCAAUUCAUUAUUCAGAGAGGGAUGUAAAAAAAUGAAUUAAGCAUUCAUUUACAUUUUAAAAUUAGUUUUCCUGGUUGUGUUUGAUAAAAACGAGGUUCUUUAACUUUUCCUGUAAUGAACAUUCAUUGCUGAAUGUCAGCAUUUGUGUUUCUGUUAUAUUUGGCUUCUGUAUGUCUUAGUGUGAGCUUGUGAACAAAAAAUACAUCAAGCAGAAUUUAGGUUUACUGAAGAAUGUGAAGCUUAAAUAUGUUAUCAGUAACUGGCUCCACAGAAGGAAUUUGAAGUUUUAAGAGUUUGAUUGAUUGAGUCAGGGAUCAAAACUAGUUACAUUUGUGCUUUUAAUCAAAGGUUGAUGCGACUACCUAAAGUUGAGAUUUUUAAACAGGCAGCCAUAUGUAAAUUUAAUACUCUAAAUGUUUCAAUGAGGAGAUUUUUGAAAAAAACCCAACAAACCCCCAAAUAUUUAAAGAAAUUGAUGAGUAAGAAAUUUCUAAGAAAGAAAAGGCAGCACUCAGAUACAUUGUUAAAUAUUACCAUAUCUUAAAAUAUUGGUGACAUGUCAUCCUUUAACAGUGAAUUCAGGGAAAAAACAUGCGUAGAAGCUCUCUUCAUAUCAUAAUACUUCUACCUUUUUAUUUCUCUAGUUUCUUGUGCAAUUUCUGGCCAUGGUUAAGAUUCUGCUGCCCAAUUAUUAUUAGUAAUGGUUUCUAAAAAUAUGGCACAUAUAAGCAAGUAUUUAGGUGAACUUACUAUUACUUUAUUACUUCCAUUAGCUAUGGUGGGGAUUUUUUACCCUUUAAAUUAUCAGGAAGAAGGCAAUUUAUGAUGUCUGAUUUAUGAAACAGCAAAAUGGUGUUAAUUCUUGUUUUCAGCAAAAGUGACUUUUAGUAAGGUCCAAAGGAACAUGAAUAUUGCAUAGCAUACUUUUCAAAAAUUACUUUAAAAAUACACUUUAAGUCCCCAAAUCUGUUAGGAAGUUUUUAAAGUUCUACUGAUUGUAAGUAAUUUCUCAGCUGAUAGAAUCAAAGAGGGUUUGAAGUAGUUCAACCCUGAAGGUAUUUAUCUAAAUUAUGGUAUUGAAAAAUGUCAUAGAUGGUUCAAUCUAAUCAAAGGUACAUUUUAACGCACAGUCUUGUCUGCAGCAUUGACCAGCACUGGCUGCUUAUGAAGGGGACAGAAGAUUGUGCAUUGAAAUAUGGAGCCUGAGAGCCAGACAGGGAUUGCUGAAUCAUGAGAUAUUUUCUCAUGCAAAGGAAUGUCAUUCUCCGUUUAAUCUUUAUUAAAAUAUGU